rnacentral:piRNA from 1 species
UGUGGUCGCUGUCGAUGAAGAUGAACAGG